CAGCAGCCGCGGGAAAACGUAGGGUGCAAGCGUUAAUCGGAAUUACUGGGCGUAAAGCGUGCGCAGGCGGUUCGGAAAGAAAGAUGUGAAAUCCCAGGGCUCAACCUUGGAACUGCAUUUUUAACUACCGGACUAGAGUAUGUCAGAGGGAGGUGGAAUUCCACGUGUAGCAGUGAAAUGCGUAGAUAUGUGGAGGAACACCGAUGGCGAAGGCAGCCUCCUUGGAUAAUACUGACGCUCAUGCACGAAAGCGUGGGGAGCAAACAGGAUUAGAUACCCCAGUAGUCCCUGUCUCUUAUAC
rnacentral:rRNA from 1 species